CUUCGGGUCUAGUGGCGCACGGGUGCGUAACGCGUGGGAACCUGCCUUUAGGUUCGGAAUAACUUCCCGAAAGGGAUGCUAAUACCGGAUAAUGUCUUCGGACCAAAGAUUUAUCGCCUUUAGAUGGGCCCGCGUAAGAUUAGGUAGUUGGUGGGGUAAAGGCCUACCAAGCCGACGAUCUUUAGCUGGNCNGAGAGGANGAUCAGCCACACUGGGACUGAGACACGGCCCAGACUCCUACGGGAGGCAGCAGUGGGGAAUAUUGGACAANGGGCGAAAGCCUGAUCCAGCAAUGCCGCGUGAGUGAUGAAGGCCUUAGGGUUGUAAAGCUCUUUUACCAGGGAUGAUAAUGACAGUACCUGGAGAAUAAGCUCCGGCUAACUCCGUGCCAGCAGCCGCGGUAAUACGGAGGGAGCUAGCGUUGUUCGGAAUUACUGGGCGUAAAGCGCACGUAGGCGGCGAUUCAAGUCAGAGGUGAAAGCCCGGGGCUCAACCCCGGAACUGCCUUUGAAACUAGAUCGCUAGAAUCCUGGAGAGGUGAGUGGAAUUCCGAGUGUAGAGGUGAAAUUCGUAGAUAUUCGGAAGAACACCAGUGGCGAAGGCGACUCACUGGACAGGUAUUGACGCUGAGGUGCGAAAGCGUGGGGAGCA
rnacentral:rRNA from 2 species